GGCAAGGUGGCCGAGUGGUCUAAGGCGCACGGUUCAGGUCUACUGAGCCCCUGACUCUGCCCAUCGCGCAUGCGCGCGGUGAGUUUUAAAUUCCGUGUCUCGCAAGAGACGUGGGUUCGAAUCCCACCCUUGUCA